rnacentral:piRNA from 1 species
UGAAGUCUUGUAGAUAUGCCAAA